rnacentral:rRNA from 1 species
CCUACGGGUGGCUGCAGUGAGGAAUAUUGGUCAAUGGGCGGAAGCCUGAACCAGCCAAGUAGCGUGCAGGAUGACGGCCCUACGGGUUGUAAACUGCUUUUAUACGGGAAUAACGCGCCUUACGUGUACGGCUUUGCAUGUACCUUAUGAAUAAGGACCGGCUAACUCCGUGCCAGCAGCCGCGGUAAUACGGAAGGUCCGGGCGUUAUCCGGAUUUAUUGGGUUUAAAGGGAGCGUAGGCGGCCUGUUAAGCGUGCUGUGAAAUGUCCGGGCUCAACCCGGGCCUUGCAGCGCGAACUGGCGGGCUUGAGUCCGCGGAAGGCAGGCGGAAUUCGUCGUGUAGCGGUGAAAUGCUUAGAUAUGACGAAGAACCCCGAUUGCGAAGGCAGCUUGCUGCGGCGGAACUGACGCUGAUGCUCGAAAGCGCGGGUAUCGAACAGGAUUAGAUACCCGUGUAGUC